rnacentral:rRNA from 1 species
AGUGAACGCUGGCGGUAGGCCUAACACAUGCAAGUCGAACGGCAGCACAGUAAGAGCUUGCUCUUACGGGUGGCGAGUGGCGGACGGGUGAGGAAUACAUCGGAAUCUACUUUUUCGUGGGGGAUAACGUAGGGAAACUUACGCUAAUACCGCAUACGACCUACGGGCGAAAGCAGGGGAUCUUCGGACCUUGCGCGAUUGAAUGAGCCGAUGUCGGAUUAGCUAGUUGGCGGGGUAAAGGCCCACCAAGGCGACGAUCCGUAGCUGGUCUGAGAGGAUGAUCAGCCACACUGGAACUGAGACACGGUCCAGACUCCUACGGGAGGCAGCAGUGGGGAAUAUUGGACAAUGGGCGCAAGCCUGUUCCAGCCAUACCGCGUGGGUGAAGAAGGCCUUCGGGUUGUAAAGCCCUUUUGUUGGGAAAGAAAAGCAGCAGGUUAAUACCCCGCUGUUCUGACGGUACCCAAAGAAUAAGCACCGGCUAACUUCGUG